AUUAAGUUUAUUUUUUAAUUUUUAGAUAUAAUGUUUUGACUCCUCAUCUUAUUUGAAUUUUUUGUGACUAAUUUUUUUAUUGUUACUAGAUGGUAAAACAUGGAUAAUACUUUAUGCAUGACUAUUUUUAAAAAAAUUAUAAUUUUUCAAAUAAGACGAAUGGUCAAACGUUUGGAACAGAAAUCGAAAAAUAAAGUUAUU
rnacentral:pre_miRNA from 1 species